rnacentral:rRNA from 1 species
CUGCUGCCUCCCGUAGGAGUUUGGGCCGUGUCUCAGUCCCAAUGUGGCCGUCCGCCCUCUCAGGCCGGCUACUGAUCGUCGCCUUGGUGGGCCGUUACCCCGCCAACCAGCUAAUCAGACGCGGGUCCAUCCCGUACCACCGGAGUUUUCAAGAAAGGAACAUGCGUCCCCUUCUGUUAUGCGGUAUUAGCACCUGUUUCCAGGUGUUAUCCCCCGGUACGGGGCCAGGUUCCCCACGCGUUACUCACCCGUCCGCCACUAAGGCCCGCGCCUUCCGGGUCUGGUAAA